GAAUAAUAUAGGAUGUCACCCCAUUGAUCGCCAGGGUUGAUUCGGCUGAUCUGGCUGGCUAGGCGGGUGUCCCCCUCCUCCCUCACCGAUCCAUGUGCGUCCCUCCCGAAGCUGCGCGCUCGGUCGAAGAGGACGACCUUCCCCCCCGAGGAGAGGACCGGUCUUCGGUCAAGGGUAUACGAGUAGCUGCGCUCCCCUGCUAGAACCUCCAAACAAGCUCUCAAAAAGAAUAAUAUAAAAUGCAGGUCUGACCCUACCACUAGGCCAUUGACAUCCACUGAUGGUUCCUUGUAAU
rnacentral:snRNA from 1 species